GGUAGGAUAGCUGGGUCAAAUGGUGUCUCCAAUCCAAGUUUUCUGAGGAAUCUCUACACUGCUUUCCAGAGUAGUUGUACCAAUUUGCUGUCCCACCAGCAAU
rnacentral:pre_miRNA from 1 species